rnacentral:rRNA from 1 species
UACGAAGGGGGCUAGCGUUGUUCGGAAUUACUGGGCGUAAAGGGCGCGUAGGCGGUGUGUCAAGUCAGGCGUGAAAGCCCCGGGCUCAACCUGGGAACCGCGCUUGAGACUGGCACGCUCGAGUUCGGGAGAGGAUGGUGGAAUUCCUGGUGUAGCGGUGAAAUGCGCAGAUAUCAGGAAGAACACCCGUGGCGAAGGCGGCUCUCUGGGACGGUACUGACGCUGAGACGCGAAAGCGUGGGGAGCGAACAGG